rnacentral:rRNA from 1 species
CCUACGGGAGGCAGCAGUGGGGAAUUUUGGACAAUGGGGGCAACCCUGAUCCAGCAAUGCCGCGUGAGUGAAGAAGGCCUUCGGGUUGUAAAGCUCUUUUGUCAGGGAAGAAACAGCAGCUCUAACACAGCUGUGAAUGACGGUACCUGAAGAAUAAGCACCGGCUAACUACGUGCCAGCAGCCGCGGUAAUACGUAGGGUGCAAGCGUUAAUCGGAAUUACUGGGCGUAAAGCGUGCGCAGGCGGUUAUAUAAGACAGGUGUGAAAUCCCCGGGCUUAACCUGGGAAUUGCAUCUGUGACUGUAUAGCUAGAGUGUGUCAGAGGGGGGUAGAAUUCCACGUGUAGCAGUGAAAUGCGUAGAUAUGUGGAGGAAUACCAAUGGCGAAGGCAGCCCCCUGGGAUAACACUGACGCUCAUGCACGAAAGCGUGGGGAGCAAACAGGAUUAGAUACCCUGGUAGUCCACGCCCUAAACGAUGCCGACUAGUUNUUCGGGAUUUUAUCCUGAGUAACGUAGCUAACGCGUNAAGUCAGCGCGNGGNGNGCGNGAGAUAAAGUUAAAGAAGUAGAGNGNGAGAGAGACGACGACGACGACGAGGGAGGAGG